rnacentral:ncRNA from 1 species
UAUCGCGAGGUAGAAUCUGAAGGAAGCCCGAGACAAACAUCUGGCCUGACGUACAGAAACCACAUACAAGGCAUAUGGUCGUGGAUGAGGCGGCAAAGAACACUAAAGUCCUAUAGCUAUACGGAACGACCGGUGUAAAUGUGGCAGGUAUAAGAUGGAAAGAAU